rnacentral:rRNA from 1 species
GUGUCAGCAGCCGCGGUAAUACGUAGGUGGCAAGCGUUGUCCGGAAUUAUUGGGCGUAAAGGAUGCGUAGGCGGCUUUUUAAGUGGGAUGUGAAAUCCCCGGGCUUAACCCGGGAGCUGCAUUCCAUACUGGAAAGCUAGAGUGCAGGAGAGGAAAGUGGAAUUCCCAGUGUAGCGGUGAAAUGCGUAGAGAUUGGGAGGAACACCAGUGGCGAAGGCGACUUUCUGGACUGUAACUGACGCUGAGGCAUGAAAGCGUGGGGAGCAAACAGGAUUAGAUACCCUGGUAGUCCACGCUGUAAACGAUGAGUACUAGGUGUAGGGUCUUCCAGGCUCUGUGCCGCAGUUAACACAUUAAGUACUCCGCCUGGGAAGUACGGUCGCAAGACUAAA